GAUAAAUCUCUUAUUUUCUUACAAUUUUAGGUAACUGGAAGGGAGACGCUAAAGGAUCGUGCGUCAAAGCCUGUCAGAGUCGCAGAAAGUGAUGUUGAUGUUAAACUAAGCACUCUAUGUGAGCAGGACCGAAUUCUUCAAGACUUAGAAGACAAAAUAAGAGCCCUCAAGGACAAUAAAGACAAGUUAGAAACAGUUCUAGAGGUUUUGCACAGACAAAUGGAUCAAUACAAAGACCAGCCACAACACACAGAAAAGAUUUCCUACCAGCAACGUCUGCUACAAGAAGACUUGGUCCAAAUUCGAGCUGAAAUGUCCAAAGUAUCGACUGAUAUGGAAAACUCUUGGAAUGAGUAUAUGAGACUGGAAAAUGACGUCAGCCGUCUAAGGCAAAUGCUACAGGAUCAAAUGAAUAGAACGAUAUCAUCUCAGGUAAUGG